AGACAAUGUGACCCAAGUAGAUGCCAUUUAGCGAACUAAUUUACUCUGGAUUUUGAUAUGGUGGAGACUAUUUUAGUAAUCAGUGAUGCUCCCUGCAAAAAUCAUCACCCAAAGGCCCCUGGAGUCAGCAGGAAAACUCUUCCUCAACUUCUGUGAUCAGAAACAACAGGAUGGCACUGGGACCUGAACUCUGACUCUGCUGUUUCUGCUGCUCUGGUUGCUGAUGCUGCUCUUUCGCAGCAGCUGAGCUGGAUCCAGAUGGAAGUGUCAUCUGUUGUGUAUCCAGAGGCAUUUUACUCAUCCAUCAGAGCUGCAGUAGCUGCUUAUUGGUGUUCAGAAAUCCAGAUGAAGCUGUGAGAGAACAGGAGCCCACGUGGGAAGUGUGAACCAGAAAGCUGAAAUUACAGCAGCUGGAUUUUGGCCAGAAACACUAAGGCUAAAAACUGAAUUCUGAGAGAGCUGCUGAGACCUUAAGUGGCAGUCACAGGCAGGAUGUUUGUUUUCCAUCUCCUCCAGAGGACGGCACAUCCAACAGCACUUUCCCAUCUUUAAGACCAGGCUGAGACCUUUGUUCAGGACUGACUCAGAGGAAAGGGUGCCACUCAAUGAAUCACUGCUUGACUUCCCUCAGUCUGGGGGUAUUCCUUUGAGACCUCAAAGCUCGCUCCAGAGCCAUCCUGCUUGAUGAAUGGGAAGUACUCUGAUGAACACAUGGAGAACGUUGCUGCAGGCCCAGCAGUCUGAAAGUGUGUAUACUGCCCAAGGCCUGCUCCAGAAAAUGAAUUCACAUAUGCUUAACUCUACACUUCUGAGGCAUAAUCCCAUUAAUUUAAAUGGGAUUACUCCUGGGCUUAAAUUCCUGCAGGAUCAGCACUGAGCUCUGUGGCUGCAGCUGCCAGUUGCACAAUGAAUGGUGUAACAAGAGCGUUGCUCAUUCAGGGUUGUUGCUGCCCCACUGUUUUGGAUUUGGAGGCUCUUGGCUCUCCCAUGUGCUUGAAACUUGGGGAACACCUAGGAGGCCCCACUGGUUGAACAUUCCCAUUGCUCAUAUACUCAAAAGUGAAACCUCAAUUCUAAGAUCUCCUGAAUAUAAGCUUUAUUUAAUCUCCCCUUACCUGCAAAGCUAUUUCAAGUCUUCUAUGGACUCUACCUCUAUGUAAACCCCAGGCUUCAUGGAUGGUUUUUGUGUCUG
ensembl:lncRNA